rnacentral:rRNA from 1 species
UACGUAGGGUGCGAGCGUUAAUCGGAAUUACUGGGCGUAAAGCGUGCGCAGGCGGUUCUGUAAGUCAGAUGUGAAAUCCCCGGGCUUAACCUGGGAACUGCGUUUGAAACUACGGAGCUAGAGUGCGGCAGAGGGGGGUGGAAUUCCACGUGUAGCAGUGAAAUGCGUAGAUAUGUGGAGGAACACCGAUGGCGAAGGCAGCCCCCUGGGCCGACACUGACGCUCAGGCACGAAAGCGUGGGGAGCAAACAGG